rnacentral:lncRNA from 1 species
CAGCUUGCCCAGAGAAGCUGGGCUGAUACCCUAUCCCUGGAAGUGCUCAAGGCCAGGUUGGAUGGGGUUUUGAAAACCUGUUCUAGUAGGAGGAGUCCCUGCCCAUGGCAGGGGGGUUGGAACGAGAUUAUCUUUAAGGUCUCUAUCAAAGCAAAGCAUUCAGUGAUUCUAUGAGCAAAUUUCCAACCAACCUUCUCUGCUGCUGUUCCAUCACUUAGAUUCUCUCUCCUUCAAGAUUUUAGCAUGAAUUGUUCAGUAGCUGUUGUCAAUCUGCUUUGCUCUGUGAUCUGUGGUGGAGAGGGGGUCUGUAGCUCCAGAUUGCAGUUACCAGAAGGGAUGUUUCAGUUUGCUGACUAAAAGAAGGCAUCUCAUUUUCUGAAACCAGGUGGUGUAAUCACCUUUGCUUCUUUUCUGUGCUUGCUUGUUUGCAAACUGUUCCAAUGAGCUGAUGCACUGUUACCAUGUGCUGAGUUUUGUCCCAGGAAGAUAAGCAUGGCAAACUUUUGAUAGGCUACAGAUAAUGUUAAAGAAAUAAUUUUACUGAUAGCAAAGAGACAGUGCUCUGUGUUUAAACACAAGAACUGAUCAGCAGCUUGCCCAAUACAAGCGAAGUGUAUUGUCUUGUUUUUAUUCUUCUCCAAAGAGGGAUCUUUCUGGAAUUUAUUACUGACAAAUGCUAGGGAGAUUAACCUGUUUUCUUAAUGGUAAUUUAUAAUGAUAUUAUAAUCUGCUCUGUGUAAUGCUCCCUUCCCCAGAGGAAAUGAAAACAGAUCUAACAUGAAGAAGCCUUGUUGCUGUGGGUUUGCCCUCACUGAUAUUCACACCCAUCAGUGGAAGUGUUUUUGAUUCCCCUCUGCAGGAGAGGGCACCACUCCAUGUGUGUGGGCUAGACGGUUUCUGGAAAUACACUGUAGGAUAGAGGAGUGGUGCUUAGUUUUUCAGUGUGCUUAGGCAAGGCCUCCCAAAGUAUAUUUAUGACAUUAGAUGGGUGAAGGUGGUGGAAUAUGCAGCCCUUUCUCUAUUUAUUUAGUUAGUUAGUUAUUAAAUUUUUUUGUUUGACUAAAGCUGAUUUUAGCAGGGA